GGUGGGGAGGCAGGACACCCUGCGGCUGCCAGGAAGUCCGGCCCAGGAAGUCGUCGGACGGGUUCUUGGUAUUCUCUCAGCGUGGGCGGGACCACAGGAAACGACUAACAGACACAGUUCUGGGCCUGCAGGUAUUUGUCUCUCUUCUAGCCAGAGGACAGGACAAUUCCUGAUGGUUAUAGCAGGACACAAUGUGUUUGCUGGAGCUCUCAGUGGCACCCAAAUUGGAGCUGAGAGAGCCUGAAGAGAAGUGGAACCACCUUGCCACGAUAAGAGAGGUUAGCACUUCUGCUAGAUCACACUUGCCACAAAAAGAUGGGAACCAAAUUCAAGUGAAGAGGAUUGAAGAUGAACCCAACAUUUUAAAAGUCCUUGUUUGCCAGAAGUGAACCUGUGACCUCGCUUCAUUUCUUCAUACAUGGCUGUUGUAGCAGGGUUUCAGUUCCCCUUGGUCAACUGUGGUCCGAAGAUAUUAAAUGGAAAAUUCCAGAAAUAAACGGCUUUUUUCCUUGAGACUUUCCCUCAAAAGCGGACUACUUGAUAAUUUGGGAAAAUGCAUGAGAUACAAAGCUGAGUAAAGAAGAGCAGCUCUAGGUCAAGGAGAAAGAAGAUGCCUGAUAUGAGGAUGGAUAAUUUAGGCCUCAGUUUUGACUUCGGAUGGAAACCAAAAGCAAAAGGACAACAGUGUGAGCAAAGUUUUGAAAACCGGGCAAAGUACAAGGCAGAGAUAUUCCCUGCUUGUGAUUUUGUGAGAAAAGAAACUGCCGGACCUUAAGGAUCAAAGCAUAAAUUUUCUAACAAUAGGUUGUAUCGCAUCACACUUUCCAGUAAUCACUGGGGAGUCAGAAUCCACAACCCAUGGAAAAGCACUUUAUUUGAGGGGGGAAGAAGUGGAGAAAGCCAGAAUUUCCACAAGCCUGUUCAGAGGAAUCACUGGAGCCUGGAUCUCAAUCCAUGGGACACCGUGAGAGUUGGUGAAAUUAAGAAAAAAAGUGACAUUGGUGACAGCAAGAGAUUUUGACUUAGAAGUGGCCAAGGACAUGGCGGGCAAAUGAGUCCUCUUGUGUAAACUGAAGAGGGGCAUAAAUUCGGUAUGGUAUAAUCUACCCCUUGAUACUAUAAUUUGGAGCCUUAAUUUGUUUGGAGAACAGCAUGUCAUCAUUUAUUUCCUGGAUGAGGAAGUAGUCCUUCAAAUUGGUGACCGGUUACACUCUCUUAAAAAGGCCUCAUGAGAGUUAUUACACCAAGAUAUGGUUCCUGUUACUGCCUCUGACUUCAAAACCACAAUUUUUAUUAAUCAUAUCCCUCUACAACCACCAUUUUUAUACUUUCCUCCAAUAAAUUAACACCUUGGUUAAUUUAGGUUACUUAGUUGGUGGAAUGACCCAGAGAUUUAUCCCAGAGUGGUUUGAGCACACAGUUACCUUUCCCUUUUUGGACCAUGGUUGCUACAAUUGGAUCUUCACAGUUAUCAUUGGGAAUAGAUGCCUUAAGUGAUGUUUCAUAGGAUCCUCUGAGUUUAAAACAAAAUUUUCCCUAUCUGUUUUUAUAGUUAACAACCCUAACUCCUAACAUAAAUUACGGGUGUUAUCUCAGCCAAGUAUAAGUUUUUUUUUUUUUUGCCUGUUGUUUCACUGGCGUUAGAGGCCCAAUGUUGCAAGAUGGAAGUUGCAGCUUCUCAUUCAUUGAAACACUAUUGUGUCAUCAAGUGGAAGUGGCCUCCAACCUUGGAAAUAAUACCUCAAGCCUAGCAUAACUUAGGUUCGCAGGAAUGGCAAAGCACAAAUUCCAAAAAUAGGUCACUGGAGUGUUGGUCGUUGGAGCCACUCCUACUGCUACCCUUUGGUUCUUGAACCUAAGUUUUCUAGCUCCUCAAGAAAAUCAUAUAUUAGUUAUGGUUUCAGUGAUUAUAUUACAUAUAAAGAUGUUGUGACUGAGCUCGUGCCUUAGCUCAUCCUUCAACAUGUCUAUCUACAAUUAUUUUAGGCUUGCUGAUUCUGGGUGAUAAGAUACGUGGUAGCUCCAGGGAUUCUCAUGUUCACAAGCUCAUUGUUGCGCCUCCUUUGCUAUAAAAUGGGCCCUUUGGUAUUGGACAUUAUUGUGCACAAUUAAAUGUCAAUGGAUCAGGAAUUUUCUGUUUUUGUAUGGUGGAGGUAAUGGAGGUUCUGCAGACAGAGAAGGCAAAUGCAUAUCUGCAAUAUGUAUCUAUUCAGAUAGAGAUGAAUUGCUAUUCUCUCCAAAUUGGAAGGAGUCUGAUGUAAUUGACCUUCUACAAUUUGUAUGGCUGGCCUACCUGAGGAAUGGUGCCAUAUUGGAGACUUAUAGAAUUUCUACUACUGGAAGUUCGGAACAUUCAGCUGUUGCAGAAGAAUUAAUCUUUUUGGAAGGGAACUCAUGUGGUUGGACUCACGCAUAACUGACGUGCAUAGCUGGUAUCCCUUUUUCCAUGAGCACAUUGUGCAACUACUGGGGUAGCUGGGGAGAGACAUGGGCUGAGAUCUACUGACUGAAUUUCUUGUACACAUGGUUGUCAAGAGAUUUCUCUGCAAUGUGUUAUUUGGUGAAUAUUAACUGGAAAUGUAAAUAUCUGUAUGUUUUGUAUCCAUUUCCAUAGAACCAUCCAUAUACCUAUUCUUUAUACUCAAUCUUCCAGUUUUGGCCAUUUCAGUGAGGUUGUAAUAUGGCAACAGCAGUCCAUUUCUGGUUAGUGCCAACAUACUGUUCUGACUUAUCUGUGAAUCAGGCCUUUGUGAUUUCUUCUGUCAGUUGGUUAUAAAAACUUCAUGAGGCCACUGGUGUAAGCUGAAGAAUCGAAGUUAAUGUAACAAAGUUAGGUAACACAGGCAUCGGGACCACUUAUUCAUGUAGUACCUUCUGGACCCACUUAAACCUCAUCACAAAUAUAUUACAGUAGUCCCCUUUUAUCCACUGGGGAUACAUUCCAAAACCCCCAGUGGAUGCCUGAUACCAUGGACAAUACUGAACCCUAUAUAUACUACGGUUUUUUUUUAUGC